GACGAACGCUGGCGGCGUGCCUAACACAUGCAAGUCGAACGGAGAUAUGAUUUCGGUUGUAUCUUAGUGGCGAACGGGUGAGUAACGCGUGAACAACCUGACUCUAAGAGGGGGAUAACACUCGGAAACGGGUGCUAAUACCGCAUAAGACCACGACCUGGCAUCAGGAUGAGGUCAAAGGAGCAAUCCGCUGAGAGAGGGGUUCGCGUCCCAUUAGAUAGAUGGCGGGGUAACGGCCCACCAUGUCAACGAUGGGUAGCCGAGCUGAGAGGCUGAUCGGCCACACUGGAACUGAGACACGGUCCAGACUCCUACGGGAGGCAGCAGUGGGGAAUAUUGGGCAAUGGGCGCAAGCCUGACCCAGCAACGCCGCGUGAGGGAAGAAGGCUUUCGGGUUGUAAACCUCUGUCCUUGGUGACGAAACAAAUGACGGUAGCCAAGGAGGAAGCCCCGGCUAACUACGUGCCAGCAGCCGC
rnacentral:rRNA from 1 species